rnacentral:rRNA from 1 species
AUUUUAGAGAGUUUGAUCCUGGCUCAGGACGAACGCUGGCGGCGUGCCUAACACAUGCAAGUCGAACGAGGGUUUGGAAAGCUUGCUUUCCGAAACCUAGUGGCGGACGGGUGAGUAACGCGUGAGUAACCUGCCUUUCAGAGGGGAAUAACGUUUUGAAAAGAACGCUAAUACCGCAUAACGUACAGUUACCGCAUGGUAGCAGUACCAAAGGAGCAAUCCGCUGAAAGAUGGACUCGCGUCCGAUUAGCUAGUUGGUGGGGUAAAGGCCUACCAAGGCGACGAUCGGUAGCCGGACUGAGAGGUUGAACGGCCACAUUGGGACUGAGACACGGCCCAGACUCCUACGGGAGGCAGCAGUGGGGGAUAUUGCACAA